rnacentral:rRNA from 1 species
GCAGUAGCCGCGGGAAUACAGAGGAUGCAAGCGUUAUCCGGAAUGAUUGGGCGUAAAGCGUCUGUAGGUGGCUUUUCAAGUCCGCCGUCAAAUCCCAGGGCUCAACCCUGGACAGGCGGUGGAAACUACCAAGCUAGAGUACGGUAGGGGCAGAGGGAAUUUCCGGUGGAGCGGUGAAAUGCGUUGAGAUCGAAAAGAACACCAACGACGAAAGCACUCUGCUGGGUCGACACUGACACUGAGAGACGAAAGCUAGGGGAGCAAAUGGGAUUAGAUACCCCCGUAGUCCCUGUCUCUUAUAC